CGCGAAAAGGAGGUUCCGUUCAUUCGCAAUUUCGGACUCGUAGUUUUUGGAUUCAAUUACCCUCACUUGUUCAUUGACUGUUGGCUGGGUAACAACGUUUAGAUUUGUUGGUGGUAAGCAAUGUCUCUGAUACUUCUGUUAGCUUGGUGCCUAUGCGUAGCAAGAGGGUUAGAUGCACGUGAACCCAUUAGCUCGAUUAGGAUAGAGGAGGAGAAUAAUGUUCUCAACAGUUCAACUAAUACAGGAAACAUGGAGGAUGGUCUUAACCCAACUCACAACACGUCAGCUGGGGCUAACAGAAAACAAAGAAGUAAUUAAUUGGUUAUUAUCAACUGUGGGACUAUGCAUAUCUUAC